CUUCACGGUGACCUAGCGUUCAUCUCUUGUCAGCGUCUCUCCUGUUUUUACAGUCUAAACAGUGUUUGAAUGGAAGCAGAUACAGUGAGAGAGGUGUGUGUUUGGGAGAUAUUAACGCUGUAAUGAAAGACAGAUGCUGUAACUCUCUGUCCUCCCAAAGUUACACACAAACACAUAAAUAAGGCUAUUUAGUCUCUUCUUUUAGUUCAAAAUAACACACACACACACACACAAUGGCCUCCUCCUAAGAAACAGAUCCACUGCUUUGGCUGCUAAAUAGUUUACUGUGUUUACGUCUUACUGCUGUAGGAAAGGAAGUUUUAAUGAGGCCAGUGCGAGCUGUAAAUGUUUUCCUUCGGUCUGUUCCCACAGGCUGCAGACAAGCUUGCUGGGUUUCUACAGUGGUGUCGAGCUUCUUCUGCCAUGGCCCACUUUGGAAUCUGAAGAAAAAGUUUUAUCCCUUUUUAAUGAUUAUGAUUUUCAAAAACACAUUUGAAUUUUACCUGAACAACAGUCGGGUUAGAGCUGCAACAUCCCACCUACAGUGACUCAGUCUGAGAACAACAGAAUGAAGUGAUGAUCCUAAAAUGGCCUUUGCUGGGUGGGAGUAUUUAUGUGUCUCUCUUUGUCUUCACCCCUGUGAUAUAUUGGUGAGUUAACCCAGGUGUGUCCUGUCUGUGCAGGGAUAGGCUCCAGCUCCACUUCAUUCUGACCAAAGCGAUUAAGAAAAAAGGAUGAAUUUAGUAGGCAAAUAAAGAUACCCACUGUGCCACAGUAACCAUGGUGUAGCUAGUGGGCAGUGGAAGGAAAGUGCAGGAUUAGGCAUGUCCAUUCAAGAAAAUCAGUCAUCUCUAAGAGCUUACCAUCUAAGGUAAGACCUGGACACUGUUGGUGGGUAGCUUGGUGACAUCAUCCAUGAUACUCAGUUAUACACAGUUUAUUUAUUGUCAGUGUGUUGGUGUGAUGGACACAGGGAUUAUGAUGGUCACAGGAAUUAUUAGAAAAACCAGGGUUUCCAUUUAACCCCCAAAAAUUAUAUUUACAAAAAUAACAAACGUUGAGCUCAUAAAAGAGGUCAAAGAAACAACUCUAAACUCAGCCCAAACAAACAUAACUGACCUAAACAGGAAAUGACACACAAGGGUUUAUAUAAUGGCUGAUCAGACCACUAUGACACAUGAGGGGUAACUACAUAAAACGCAAUCAUAAACCACAAAAAUUAUGCAGUACAGCCUGGUUUGUUUAUAAAGUCAACACCAAAGAAGAAAGUCAAAAUCACUGAACCCUAAACUCAAAUAUGUAAUCAAAUACAAAAGCUUUUUUUUAACAUUGUCUCCUUCAGCAGGAAGUGGUGGUGCGGUCCAAUUAUCCCUCUUUGUAUUUAAGGGCUUUAAACCCUGGCCUCCACCUUUUGUCUGGUAACUCUCAGGGAUCAUGGCAGGUAAGCAGCAAGUAAAAGAAACAAAGCUUAGUCAAACAAAGUAAUGAACUGGUAUAAAUACAUAACCUAAAUGUGCACGCUUACAAAAAGAGCAAAUGUAUCCAAACCAAUCAAUAAACUUAUUGGAAACUAAAGUGUGUUCUUGUGUUCAAAUGAAGAAAUGAAAAUACAAGAGUUACCGACUUUCGAGUGUGGCCGUGGGUUUGGCCAUCACAGUUGGCAAAUUGAAGCUUUGGUGUGAAAGCACAAGCUGCCAGCAGCACUGCAGUUAGAUGAACGGUGUCAUUAAUAAAAGUGUUGAUCAUCCUGCACCCUGACACUCCUUUCUGUCUCAGGCUGUCCUCCACUCAAAAUGUUAACAGCUCCUGUUGUGUUGGCUCCCCUAAGAAGUACCAGCUCUGUUCAAAGCAGCCGUGUCCCAGCACCAGUGUUAGCUUCAAGCAGCACCAGUGUUCCCAGUUCAACUCUAAAGCCUUUGGAAGGAGAUACUAUCAGUGGAUACCCCUGUACCCAGCCGAUUACAUCAGCAUCUCCAAUAGACCAUGUGACCUGCAGUGUACCACCAUCAGUGGUGAGCGACAGCUGCUGGUUCCUGCCCACGAUGGCACCUCCUGUCGGGAUACUAAAAACCAUGGAGUGUGUAUCGAGGGGAUGUGUCAGCCUGUGGGGUGUGAUGGGGAGCUGUACAGCAGUAAGACUGUAGACAGAUGUGGUGUGUGCGGAGGAAACGGGACAUCGUGCCAGCGGAUCUCUGGAUCCUACAGGAUGGCACUCACACAGUUAGACAGCUCAAGGAAACCAUUAUCUUUACAACCACCUCAGCGAAAUCCACUGCACGGUGUCCUGUAAACAUGUGUCGUCAUAGAAGCCUGAAACCGGGGUGGAUGACUCCAUGAUGUCUUCACCCCCUUCUGCUGGUUUGUUACUACGCUGCCCGCCAGCAGGCUGCCCGCCAGCAGGACUCUCGAAGCGAGGGAAGCUUUUUCAACAUAUUUUUUAAUGCCUUGAUUUUGCCUGCAAGGAGCCAGACUUUGUAAUCUUUUUUUUAAAAAUUGGUCUUGAACAUUAAUGUUCUUGAAUUUAUGAGUUUUUAUUUGGACACGGGAAUGUUUUUCAGUCAGUUAAGUAACUUUACAUUGAUCCGACAUCAUUCUGUUUUUACACAUAACAGAAAACUUAGCAAAGAAGACAUUUUAAAUUGCAUCUGUAGGCAAUUUAUUGCUAGCAACACAUACACCAGUUUGUUCUUAGUUGGACCAAUGAAAAAUGUUGUUUGACAGCAUGGUUUUGUACCAACACGGCUUCCCAAAGAGAUAUUGCCAUGAAACUUGGCAUAUUGCAACAUGGUGUAAAGUACGUUCUUAAAACAUCAGAAGAAACAGGAGAAGUUAAGGACAAAAGAAGUGGCACACCUGAAAUUCUACAGCAGAUGAACAGUUAUGUCCUUCAGUAAUAAGGAAAAUAUCCAGCAAAGACCUGACAGGAUCUGAGAAAUGCAUCUGACCCUUCGGCUGAUUCAUUUACUUUCCACAGAAGCCUCAUUAGACGUGCUCUGAAUGGAAGGACGGCUGUCAAGAAGCCACUGUUAAGGAACAGAAAGAGGGAGAACAGGCUGAAGUAUGCCACAUUAGAACUGGACUGGAAAUCGCAGGCAACGUAACUCUUAUGGAGUGAUGGAUCCAAACGGACUGGAUCUAAUCAGGAGUCCAACUGUCUACAGCCAUGUUUCAAAGAUGUUGGAGGCAGACGUCGACGCAUGGUGUAAUCCCAUCGUGUGAUGCAGUACCAGUGCAUUAAAAACAUACUUAGAUGGGUUAGCCUUCGCCAGAGAUCUGUCCUCACCAGACUCAGUCCUCGUAUUCACAGAAAUGUGUUCCUGCUGAUAAACUCUUGGAGUGUUUUUUCUUUCCAAUUGUGUUGCAGUUUAGUGACAAGUUUGUUUUUGU